AACGCGAAGAACCUUACCUAGAUUUGACAUGCUGGGAAAAGCCGUAGAGAUACGGUGUCCUUCGGGGCUCAGCACAGGUGGUGCAUGGCUGUCGUCAGCUCGUGUCGUGAGAUGUUGGGUUAAGUCCCGCAACGAGCGCAACCCUUGUUCUAUGUUGCCAGCACGUAAUGGUGGGGACUCGUAGAAAACUGCCGGGGUCAACUCGGAGGAAGGUGGGGACGAGGUCAAGUCAUCAUGCCCCUUACGUCUAGGGCUGCACACAUGCUACAAUGGCCGGUACAGAGGGCUGCUAAACCGCGAGGUGGAGCCAAUCCCUAAAGCCGGUCUCAGUUCAGAUUGCAGGCUGCAACUCGCCUGCAUGAAGUUGGAGUUGCUAGUAAUCCCGGAUCAGCAUUGCCGGGGUGAAUACGUUCCCGGGCCUUGUACACACCGCUGUA
rnacentral:rRNA from 1 species